rnacentral:rRNA from 2 species
AUUGAACGCUGGCGGCAGGCCUAACACAUGCAAGUCGAACGGUAGCACAGAGAGCUUGCUYUCGGGUGACGAGUGGCGGACGGGUGAGUAAUGUCUGGGAAACUGCCUGAUGGAGGGGGAUAACUACUGGAAACGGUAGCUAAUACCGCAUAACGUCGCAAGACCAAAGAGGGGGACCUUCGGGCCUCUUGCCAUCAGAUGUGCCCAGAUGGGAUUAGCUAGUAGGUGGGGUAACGGCUCACCUAGGCGACGAUCCCUAGCUGGUCUGAGAGGAUGACCAGCCACACUGGAACUGAGACACGGUCCAGACUCCUACGGGAGGCAGCAGUGGGGAAUAUUGCACAAUGGGCGCAAGCCUGAUGCAGCCAUGCCGCGUGUAUGAAGAAGGCCUUCGGGUUGUAAAGUACUUUCAGCGGGGAGGAAGGUGUUGUGGUUAAUAACCNCAGCAAUUGACGUUACCCGCAGAAGAAGCACCGGCUAACUCCGUGCCAGCAGCCGCGGUAAUACGGAGGGUGCAAGCGUUAAUCGGAAUUACUGGGCGUAAAGCGCACGCAGGCGGUCUGUCAAGUCGGAUGUGAAAUCCCCGGGCUCAACCUGGGAACUGCAUUCGAAACUGGCAGGCUAGAGUCUUGUAGAGGGGGGUAGAAUUCCAGGUGUAGCGGUGAAAUGCGUAGAGAUCUGGAGGAAUACCGGUGGCGAAGGCGGCCCCCUGGACAAAGACUGACGCUCAGGUGCGAAAGCGUGGGGAGCAAACAGGAUUAGAUACCCUGGUAGUCCACGCCGUAAACGAUGUCGAUUUGGAGGUUGUGCCCUUGAGGCGUGGCUUCCGGAGCUAACGCGUUAAAUCGACCGCCUGGGGAGUACGGCCGCAAGGUUAAAACUCAAAUGAAUUGACGGGGGCCCGCACAAGCGGUGGAGCAUGUGGUUUAAUUCGAUGCAACGCGAAGAACCUUACCUGGUCUUGACAUCCACAGAACUUUCCAGAGAUGGAUUGGUGCCUUCGGGAACUGUGAGACAGGUGCUGCAUGGCUGUCGUCAGCUCGUGUUGUGAAAUGUUGGGUUAAGUCCCGCAACGAGCGCAACCCUUAUCCUUUGUUGCCAGCGGUUAGGCCGGGAACUCAAAGGAGACUGCCAGUGAUAAACUGGAGGAAGGUGGGGAUGACGUCAAGUCAUCAUGGCCCUUACGACCAGGGCUACACACGUGCUACAAUGGCGCAUACAAAGAGAAGCGACCUCGCGAGAGCAAGCGGACCUCAUAAAGUGCGUCGUAGUCCGGAUUGGAGUCUGCAACUCGACUCCAUGAAGUCGGAAUCGCUAGUAAUCGUAGAUCAGAAUGCUACGGUGAAUACGUUCCCGGGCCUUGUACACACCGCCCGUCACACCAUGGGAGUGGGUUGCAAAAGAAGUAGGUAGCUUAACCUUCGGGAGGGCGCUUACCACUUUGUGAUUCAUGACUGGGGUGAAGUCGUAACAAGGUAACCGUAGGGGAACCUGC